GCCGUGCCGAGCCGAGCCGUUCCUUACCGGCUAGCGGGUGCUCGCGAGCCGCGCUACUUUUCGAAGCCGCUACCCGAGCGCGGGGCGGCGGCCGCCGAGCACCGGGCACCGGGUACCGGGUACCGGGCAGGGCCGUGCCGGGAGCCGGGCGGUGCGAGCGCCUCGCCUCGAGCUGCGGGCUCCAUCGAUCUGACGCACCGCACUGCGCUCCGUUUUAUCUAUCUAAUUUAACCGGAAGAGGGGAGAUUUAGACUGGGGGAGUCGGACUAAAUGGUCUGUAAGGCCCGCUGAGCAGAAGAAGAGAGCAAGAUGAACUCCUACCCCCCUUCAAAACUCCUUCACAAAAUCAAAUGAACCAAAACAUAGCAUCAUACCAGACACUUUGAAGGAAACAAUUCCAUCCCAGCUGAAGCAAAGGCAGAUGGCCAUGAUCCCACACCUUGGAUUUGUCCCCAGGCAUCAGGAGCUGUUCAGUACCUGUCCUGCGUGUGGCUACACAGGGUUUUUAUAGGAAUUACAGAUCCACUCAGGGCAGCCAAACCAUUCACACAGUGACUCAUGGAGAUGGAGAUGUGGAUAAGAGCUAGCUGCCCGUCUGUCCACAAGUGACUGAAGCUGGAGAAAGCAACUGGUUCCUUCCUGCCUGACAGAAGAUGCGUUUGCUCCUCCAAGUCAAAGCAAUAUUGUGCUUCCCUCGUUCAUUCUUUUUGUGAUUUUUGUUUUGUGUUUUCUAAAUCUUGCACGUACACUGGAGCUAACUUUCUGUUAACAAUGUGUUUUGAUGGCUCUGCUAUAAGCUAUGAAAUAAUUGCGCUGGUUUUACAUGUUACAAUAAUUUGAACAGGAACAAAAUGUUUUUUUCUUUACCGGCAAAGCUAUGAUGAAUUGUUUGGUGAAGUUCCACCUAUCUUGGAGGCUGGAUAGACCAGCAGCUCUGCCAUUAGUUCCGUGCCUGAUUUACAGACCACCUGCCAGUGAUCUUUGGCUGUGUCUGUGCAUCAGAAAUGUUUGUGCAGGGAAUCAGUCAGUUUCAGAGGAAAGAAUGGAAUCAAGUGGAAUCAAGGGCAGUUUUGAACUAUGAUCAAUGUGAAGUCCAUUUACAGAAGGUUUGAAAAGACAGAAAACAUCUCUUUCGUGCACCAAACUGAAUGCACAACUUCAUCAUGAAAAGAGGUGCUUCCAAACAUGAAUCUCUCCUUGAGUUAGAAGUCAACUGAAAAAUCAUAGCAAGGAUGUUCGACAUCUAGAAACCAGAGCAAAAACACUUUCAUACCAUUGGGGAGUUAUGGUAUGAAGCAUCUGAACUUUACAGCAAACACUAUUUCUUGCUCACAGGGUACAUUUCUUGUUUUGAAAAACAUAUAUAGCUUGUGUAAUAUGGGAGUAUUACAUAUGGGAAAUCUGGAGCAUCCAUUAUUCCUGUGUUCAGGUUAAAAAUGAAUCACUUUGAAUGAGCAUCUUGGGUUUUUUUUGUUCGUUUGUUUUUGUUUAUUUUGUAUUUAUUUCGUACAACACUGGGAAAAAUUAAAUUAAAAAUGACAGGUGAAAAUAUUCUAUUUAAGUAGCUAGACUGUUAAAUAAUUUUUGUGGAAGUGUUUGUUGAAAGCUUCAGUGUAAUAAGUUUGAUGUAAUUAAAUGAUGAUGGAGUUUGCAGUUAAUCUCCUCUGAGAAUGACUUUUAUUAUAACAAAUAAAAAUCCUGCCCCAAUUGUUCUCUGAAUAUAAAGCAAGUAUUACAUGAUUGAUGCUGCUCCAUCUUCCAACUAUUUGCAUUUCUCAGAGCAAAGUGGUACAUCAAAGAAAUAUUUCACAUGUUUAGAGUCAGAAGUGAUAUGACUAAAACUAGAACUGUAUGCAGCUAUAUAACUGUUCUCCAGAUUUGUAAGGCUUUUAUUCUGACAGUUCUUUUACAAAUCCUUUUUCAUCCUCAAGACUAUAAAAUAUAAGUGGACGUAGCAUGAUUUAUGACAUUUUCAUGUAAUACUUAUAUUAUCUAAGUCCCACAGUAAAUUCUAGGGAAGGAAAAUACCAUAACAGGCCUGUUAAGCAUUAUGACUUAAUCAUCGUAGAAUAAUCAAACCUGAAAGCCUCAGGAUCUGAGAUGUUCAAAUCUACCAGGACCCUGUUUGGAGCAGGGGGAGGACUCAGCAUCUCCAGACAUCUCUCACAACCUAAAUAGUUUCAGGACUUUGUGGUUGCUGCAUGGUCUCUUCUUGAUUGCCUUGAGUAUACUUGACCUAUCUGUCCUUGGCUUUUGUUCAGCAGAGUACUUCUUCACUUUGUGAGUAAUAGCACUGCUGUUGCUAGAGCAGUGUAGGGAUAUAACUCCAAGAGGUCUUAUAAAGAGAACGAAUAUCCUUUUUUGUAGAUCAUCUGAUGCAGCUAGAACAAAUACAGUUAUUGGGAGCCUGCAUACAUUCACAGUUUUGAUCCUAAAAAAGCAGCGAACACCAAGCUGAAUACAGGUUGGGAACAAUUGCUCUGUUCUAAUGAAAGCAUAUUUCUUUCUCACAAUAUAACAAAUUGCAUUAGACUGACACAGAUUAGCAUGAGAAAAAUGCCUUUUAAAUAAAUUUCUACUGUAAGGUUCCAUUGGAAUAAAUUAAAAAAUCAAGCUUUGUGAAAUA